rnacentral:rRNA from 1 species
GACGUAGGGCGCAAGCGUUGUCCGGAUUUAUUGGGCGUAAAGAGCUCGUAGGCGGUUUGUCACGUCUGCUGUGAAAACUGGAGGCUCAACCUCCAGCCUGCAGUGGGUACGGGCAGACUAGAGUGCGGUAGGGGAGAUUGGAAUUCCUGGUGUAGCGGUGGAAUGCGCAGAUAUCAGGAGGAACACCAAUGGUCGAAGGCAGGAAUCUCUGGGCCGGUAACUGACGCUGAGGAGCGAAAGCAUGGGGGAGCGAACAGG